UACGUAGGGUGCAAGCGUUGUCCGGAAUUAUUGGGCGUAAAGGGCUCGUAGCGGUCCAUCGCGUCGGGGAGUGAAAAGCUGGGGCUUAACCCCAGUCCUGCUUCCGAUACGGGUGGACUAGAGGUAGGUAGGGGAGAACGGAAUUCCUGGUGUAGCGGUGAAAUGCGCAGAUAUCAGGAGGAACACCGGUGGCGAAGGCGGUUCUCUGGGCCUUACCUGACGCUGAGGAGCGAAAGCAUGGGGAGCAAACAGG
rnacentral:rRNA from 1 species